GUGGAAAGAGGGUCUGGGGCUGUAGCUCAGUGGCAGAGCACUUGCCUAGCAUGUGUGAGGCACUGAGUUCGAUCCUCAGCACCACAUUAAAAAAAAAUAAAGGCAUGCUGUCCAUCUACAACAACAACAACAACAACAAAAAAAAAAACCCUGAAAUUAAAAAGAAGAAAUGUGGAAAGAGAAACAAUUUUUUAAAAAAUGAUUAAAGUAUAACAUGGAUAAUUUCUGAAUUAGUAGAUAUGCCUAUACGAGGGAUUAGCAAUCACUUUUCUUUCUUUUUUUUUCUUUUUUUUUUUUUUUUAGGAAAACACCAACAAGCUCUUAAAGCCAGGUAUAUUGGGGCUGGGGAUGUGGCUCAAACGGUAGCGCACUCGCCUGGCAUGCGUGCGGCCCCGGUUUGAUCCUCAGGACCACAUACAAACAAAGAUGUUGUGUCUGCCGAAAACUAAAAAUUAAAUAUUAAAAAUUCUCUCUCUCGGGCUGGGGAUGUGGCUCAAGCGGUAGCGCGCUCGCCUGGCAUGCGUGCGGCCCUGGUUUGAUCCUCAGGACCACAUACAAACAAAGAUGUUGUGUCUGCCAAGAACUAAAAUAAUAAAUAUUAAAAAAAAUUCUCUCUCUCUCUCUCCCCCCCCACUCUCUCUCUUAAAAAAAAAAAAAAGCCAGGUAUUGUAGAGUGUGCCUAUAAUUUCAGCAAUUUAGGAGACUGAGGAAUGAGUUUUGAAAAUUUGAUUCCAGGUCAGACUCAGAAACUUGGGGAGAAAACUGUCUCAAAAAAAGGGGAAUUGGGGAAUGUAGCUCACCAGUAGCAGACUUCUGGAUUCAAUCCCUUUUCUUGAAAACAAACAAAAACAACUCUUACAAGGCAGCAACAUGAAGACACACACCAAAAUGAAAAAUGAGGAAAGGAAGGGAAAAUACAGAUGCACACGAAAAGAAUUGGGGCUGGGGAUAUAACAGCCGUGGAGCACUUCCCGAGCAUGUGCGAGACUGGAUUCAGUCCCCAGCCCUGGAGGAAAGAAAGAAG
rnacentral:lncRNA from 1 species